rnacentral:rRNA from 1 species
UGGGGAAUAUUGCACAAUGGGCGCAAGCCUGAUGCAGCCAUGCCGCGUGUAUGAAGAAGGCCUUCGGGUUGUAAAGUACUUUCAGCGGGGAGGAAGGUGUUGUGGUUAAUAACCGCAGCAAUUGACGUUACCCGCAGAAGAAGCACCGGCUAACUCCGUGCCAGCAGCCGCGGUAAUACGGAGGGGGCAAGCGUUAAUCGGAAUUACUGGGCGUAAAGCGCACGCAGGCGGUCUGUCAAGUCGGAUGUGAAAUCCCCGGGCUCAACCUGGGAACUGCAUUCGAAACUGGCAGGCUAGAGUCUUGUAGAGGGGGGUAGAAUUCCAGGUGUAGCGGUGAAAUGCGUAGAGAUCUGGAGGAAUACCGGUGGCGAAGGCGGCCCCCUGGACAAAGACUGACGCUCAGGUGCGAAAGCGUGGGGAGCAAACA